CUCAGGGAGUAAGGAGAGCAUGAGGCAAUUCCAAUAUGGAGGACCACAGCAAUUGCUAAAAUGAGAGCAUAUUGCAGAGAGCGGUGCGAGCUGGGCGGAAGUGAGGUUGGAGCGCAGAGCUGGUCGGGUAGGACUUGUUUCGAAACAUGCCUCAGCUGGUCUCAUAAGAGUGUGGCCUCUCUCUACAGGAGCAGAAUGGUCAGUAACCAGAGAACGUAGAGUUAACUGGAUCAGCACAAAGAGGAGAGCAAGCAGCUGUCAUCUUCACUGAAACGGCAGUGGAAGAAGAUUUGAUAGUACCAUUACGGAAAGGAAUUCGAUAAAUAUUUGAAAAGGGAAACAUUUUGCAGAAGAGAUGGAACAAAGCGAGGGUGUGGGACUAAUUGGGUUGCUCUUCCAAAAAGCUGAAGCUGAUAUAAAAACGUUAGAACAUAAGAACUAGG